CAUUGGGGUGCUAAAUUUUGUCUUCUGUGUUUGGCAGGAUGCUGGCAACCUCAUUCUGGAAAGAACACUGCUUUGCAAAGGAAAAGCUCUGAGAGAGAGCAGGCAUCCCAGCCUGAUGAGCCCCCCUGUUAAUGAACUUCUGCCUCCUGCUGAGACGUGCCAGACUUCCUUGGUCCUGAAUUGCCCUGCAUCUGCCCUAGGUGGGCAUGAGGGCUUCCCCAGGCUGCCUCGGACAGCGGGGAACACCAGCCAGCAGAGCCAGCCUUCGGCUGCGGCGUGGGGGCUGUGUCCCUGGGUUUCUUCAGGGUGUCAGGUUCCACUGUCUGCCCAGAGGGGAUCCUCUCCACGGGCUCCUGCACAUCAUUAAGAUGCAGUCCAUAAGUAAGUAGCAUUUGUACCCACUUUCCAGAUGAGAAAAAUAAGGUAUACAGGAAUUAAGUAACUUGCCCAGGUUCCCAUGGCCAGUACCAGUGAGACUGUUGCUGAAACAUCGGCUGCCUUUCUACACUGAUGCCAAAUAGAAACACGGAGACAGAGCUGGAGGAAACAGAAAAAGUAGCUUUCAUCACCAGGCAGAGAGGGGAACACAGCAGGCUAGUGCCUUGAGGACUAUGCCCCCCUUGGAGGGGGCAGCGAGGCGUCUUACAGUGUUCGAGGAGCAGGGCAUGAUCAGCCCGUGGACCUUUUCUUGACCGGUGGGUGGUGAGGUCAUUGGGAAUCAGCGUCAUCCACCUUCUGGUUCCAACCAGUCUGGUGUCUGCCUGCUUGUGGGCAGCACACAGUUAACUUCCUCUACCCAGUGGCGGCUUCAGCGUCUGCAAAACAGCUUCAAGGACAUGGCUCAGAAGAUUAUCUAUAA